CAAACGGCUCUUUUCAGAGCCACCCAUUGUUUUCAAAGAGAUUUAU
rfam:Ciona savignyi cont_1065, whole genome shotgun sequence.